AUUGAACGCUGGCGGCAUGCCUUACACAUGCAAGUCGAACGGCAGCACGGGAGCAAUCCUGGUGGCGAGUGGCGAACGGGUGAGUCAAGUAUCGGAACGUGCCCAGUCGUGGGGGAUAACGUAGCGAAAGUUACGCUAAUACCGCAUACGAUCUAUGGAUGAAAGCGGGGGAUCGCAAGACCUCGCGCGAUUGGAGCGGCCGAUAUCAGAUUAGGUAGUUGGUGGGGUAAAGGCUCACCAAGCCGACGAUCUGUAGCUGGUCUGAGAGGACGCCCAGCCACACUGGGACUGAGACACGGCCCAGAAUCCUACGGGAGGCAGCAGUGGGGAAUUUUGGACAAUGGGCGAAAGCCUGAUCCAGCCAUGCCGCGUGCAGGAUGAAGGCCUUCGGGUUGUAAACUGCUUUUGUACGGAACGAAAAGGUUUGGGCUAAUAAGCUGAGCUCAUGACGGUACCGUAAGAAUAAGCACCGGCUAACUACGUGCCAGCCGCCGCCGUAA
rnacentral:rRNA from 1 species